CUCCAACUUUACGAAUCCAAUUCCAGAGACAAACGUUCCAAACUCUUAUUCCAGGUGGAUUGCUAUAAAGACAACCACUAAUUAGUGGCCCAUUUUCUCGUGGAAAUUUAUUGGCCACUCUAACCCAAGGGACCUCUGACCCGUCCGUGGCGGCAUUUCUAAAAUCUCCAAGAGGUGGUGGCGUAUUACUCCUUUCUGUUUCUUAUUUACACGGAGCGAAAGUCGUUGACUCAGAAACACUGAAAAUAGUUGUGAUCCCUGCUUCAUUUGCUCUUUUUCUUUUCGAACUGUUCUAUAAUUCCAGAUGGAAUUGUGUAUUUCACGGAAAGUGUUUCAAGGGCACAAACAAUGCUUGACCAUCGGAUAGUUAAUCAACUUCAUUGAAAAAAUAGAGGACUUUAUCUAAAUAGGGUUUUAUACACUAACCUAACAAAAGACGCACUGGUUUCGUUGCCAGGACUAAGUUUGACUUCACGAGAUCACUUUGAUGACGUUUGAUUUUGACUCCGAAAUGCAAAGCCUUAUUCUUCGCCAAUAUCCAUGUGAAAAAUUUGGGAAUAAUGGAUGGUUUUACAAUGCGUUGCUAUGGAAAUAUCGCUGUUUUAUAAAAUCUCCAUUUUUCUCGAAAUUGUGUUCUCGUUUUUCCAUACCAUUUCUUCUCCAUCAAUUUCUAAGUUGGUAAUAACUCAUAGCCUUCAUUAUUGCUUGAAUCUUUUGCCUGUUAUGUUAAACUUUCUACUGUCCUUUAUUUCAUAAGCAUAUUCUUGUAAUGUUCGUUGUAUAACCUCCAUUUUUCUAUGUCAGACAUCUAUUUCGGUGUCAUCUGCGUAUAAUGCAAGCAUGUUUCUUGGAUUCUUCGUAAAUCAUGGAUAUAAAUGCUAUAUGGGCCCUAGUACAGAUCCCUGGGGUACUCCUGAUUCCAUAUAUCUCUUGCUUGAGUAUUCCUAGUUUACUUUCACAUAAGAGCGUCGAUCUUCCCGAAAGUCCCCAAUACUUUUCAUAAUUUCGUCGAAUAUCCUAUCCUGCACAUCUAAUUUUUUUAUAUCGAUCUCUCAUGUCAUACUCUGUCGAGUGCUCGGAUUCCUGGUCUGGAAUCAGCACUGCCAUCUUUCUUAAAUCUAUCAAUAACUUCUGUAAUGAAUUGCUGGACAGAAAAUAUUCCUAUAAGUAAAGCACACCAAAUAGUUUUAGGCUGUUAAGGUUUCUCAUUGAGGGACCGUCCUCUAAGUCUAAAGUCAAAAAACUCCUGUCUCUUGAGGGGAAACAGCUGAGUGUGGUCACUGGUGGAAGGACUAGCCAAUUGUUCAAUAAUAAAUUGUUAUUUUCAACUUAAUUGUUUCUUGAAAACAAAUUUGAAGUGAUAUACAUUAUGUGAGUAAGUUGUGAGGAAGAAGGAACGUAUUUAAGCUUAAUUAUCAUUCGGGCUUCUGUAAAGUCGAUAAUCAGCCUCAAAAAUUGCCUCAAGAGCCAAGAACUGACGAAUUUCGAUUGUCAUCUAUUCAUCCCCCCGUGAAAGCUUUCCGGCGAAGAAAUUCCAUACAAAUAGUGGGCGAAAAUCCCGCUCUUUCACAAUCAAAACACAAACGCCGCGGCCGCGCGUGCGUCCGUAACGUCCUCCGCCGUCUCCAACGUUUGGCGGCGUGUUCGCCGAACAGCAGGAGGCUACCACGGGACGGCAAAAACACACCACCGCCAGUUGAUAUGCGGCACUUGGCGGCUGAUAAUCGAAAAUUAAAUCGCAAUGCCAAGAUACUAUCGCGACGGUUUUGUUGGCGUGUUUCUCACGAUGGCUGGACUACUUGUCUCAUCGGCUGACUUCUUAGAAAAUCCAAAAUUCACGGCACCCAUCACGAAUGUGACAGUUCCAGUUGGCAGAGAAGCAAUUCUCACCUGUUUAGUGGAGGAUCUUGGUCAAUAUAAGGUGGCCUGGUUGAGAGUCGACACUCAAACUAUUUUGACAAUACAUAGUCAUGUAAUAACAAAGAAUCAGAGGAUAGGAAUCACACACAGUGAGCACAAAACCUGGUUCCUUCAUAUCAAGGAAGUGAAAGAAUCUGACAGGGGCUGGUAUAUGUGCCAAAUAAAUACUGACCCCAUGAAGAGUCAGGUUGGAUACCUUGAUGUUGUAGUGCCCCCUGAUAUCCUGGACUACCCAACCAGUACGGAUAUGGUUGUGCGAGAAGGCUCCAAUGUCAAUCUGCGAUGUGUGGCACGUGGAUCCCCGGAACCGACGAUCACAUGGCGUAGGGAAACUGGGGAGACGAUACGCAUAUCGAAAACCGAAGAAGUUGCCAGCGUGGAGGGCCCCGUUCUCAACAUAACACGAGUGAGUAGGCACCAAAUGGGACCGUACCUCUGCAUCGCCUCCAAUGGGUUACCUCCCUCUGUCAGCAAAAGGAUUAUGUUGGUGGUUCAUUUUCCCCCCAUGAUUUGGAUACAAAACCAGCUAGUAGGUGCCUACGAGGGUCAACAGAUAACCUUGGAGUGUCAUUCAGAGGCAUUCCCGAAAUCCAUCAACUAUUGGACUGACGACACCGGAGAAAUUAUACCUCAGAAUGAAAAAUUCGACCCCACACACACAACUGUAGGCUACAAGACACAAAUGAAGCUGACAAUAAAAUCAGUAGCACCCGAGGACUAUGGAAAUUACAAAUGCGUGUCCAAAAAUUCGUUAGGAGAUACUGACGGCACUAUACAACUGUUUGCCAUACCGAGGCCUUCCAAGUUGUCCAAUGGUUAUUCGAAGAAAGGCAAAUUCAAGAAAAAAUCGAACGAGGUAACCGGUAUCACGUCAGAUGAAGACGAAAUGCUGAGCAUUUACGAUGACGCAGCCGAUAGCCUGCUGCAGCAGAAUUCUUCACCGUCUUCAUUUCAGCACCACCAGACGGAACUCACGUGUUGUGUGGCCCUUAUUUUAGUCAGUGCUUCGCUAGUGUUUUAACGGAUUUCAGUAAAGCGAGGUGGUUGUUUCGCCCUAGUUUAUACCUUCUGUGCCGGACAAUGAGUGCGCCGGUUUUAGACUGAAACAAACGAUGUUCGGCGCUAAAUAACUAUUUUUAUAUAUGCUUCUUGUGGCUACAAGUGGUUCAAGUGAUAGUAAAUCAAGCUGCGCUGCGAUAGCUGGAAAGCACAUCGUUGUGAACAUUCGGCAACUUGUUUUAUGUUCUUCUUCUCCCAGUCUGGCGAGGACCCUCUUUCGUGGAAGUUCCACCUGAAAGGGAAUUAUGGUUGUGGCUUUGUCGAACAGGCUACGACUCCAAUAGAAAUAAUUGAAUACUUCCUACAGGGAUGGAUAUCCGUAUAGAUAACUUUUUAUAUUAUUCAUUCUCAUUAUCAACAACUAUCCAACUAAUAUUUGGUUCAAAUGCGAUGCAUGACUGGACAAAAGUUAUCAUCAUUAUGAAGACCAUUGACUGAUGAAAGUUAUUAUCAUAUAAGUAACAGUAGUUGUAAAUAGCUGAAUAUUUUAGAAUGGAAAAAAUCAAGGUUUGUGAUUUAAUAAAUUGAAACCCA